GCAGUAGCCACGGUAAUACGAAGGGUGCAAGCGUUAAUCGGAAUUACUGGGCGUAAAGCGUGCGUAGGCGGUUUGUUAAGUCUGCUGUGAAAUCCCCGGGCUCAGCCUGGGAAUGGCAGUGGAUACUGGCAAGCUAGAGUGUGUCAGAGGAUGGUGGAAUUCCCGGUGUAGCGGUGAAAUGCGUAGAGAUCGGGAGGAACAUCAGUGGCGAAGGCGGCCAUCUGGGACAACACUGACGCUGAGGCACGAAAGCGUGGGGAGCAAACAGGAUUAGAUACCCCGGUAGUCCCUGUCUCUUAUAC
rnacentral:rRNA from 1 species